rnacentral:rRNA from 1 species
AGUGGGGAAUUUUGGACAAUGGGCGCAAGCCUGAUCCAGCAAUGCCGCGUGAGUGAAGAAGGCCUUCGGGUUGUAAAGCUCUUUUGUCAGGGAAGAAACGGUUCCGGCUAAUAUCUGGAGCUAAUGACGGUACCUGAAGAAUAAGCACCGGCUAACUACGUGCCAGCAGCCGCGGUAAUACGUAGGGUGCAAGCGUUAAUCGGAAUUACUGGGCGUAAAGCGUGCGCAGGCGGUUUUGUAAGUCUGUCGUGAAAGCCCCGGGCUCAACCUGGGAAUUGCGAUGGAGACUGCAAGGCUUGAAUCUGGCAGAGGGGGGUAGAAUUCCACGUGUAGCAGUGAAAUGCGUAGAGAUGUGGAGGAACACCGAUGGCGAAGGCAGCCCCCUGGGUCAAGAUUGACGCUCAUGCACGAAAGCGUGGGGAGCAAA